ensembl:miRNA microRNA 193a
UGAGGGCUGGGUCUUUGCGGGCGAGAUGAGGGUGUCGGUUCAACUGGCCUACAAAGUCCCAGUCCUCGGC